rnacentral:rRNA from 1 species
UAGGAAGGCAGCGGUGGGGAAUAUUGCACAAUGGGCGCAAGCCUGAUGCAGCCAUGCCGCGUGUAUGAAGAAGGCCUUCGGGUUGUAAAGUACUUUCAGUCGUGAGGAAGGUGUUAAGGUUAAUAACCUUAGCAAUUGACGUUAGCGACAGAAGAAGCACCGGCUAACUCCGUGCCAGCAGCCGCGGUAAUACGGAGGGUGCGAGCGUUAAUCGGAAUUACUGGGCGUAAAGGGCACGCAGGCGGUUAAUUAAGUUGGAUGUGAAAUCCCCGGGCUUAACCUGGGAAUGGCAUUCAAGACUGGUUAGCUAGAGUCUUGUAGAGGGGGUAGAAUUCCAUGUGUAGCGGUGAAAUGCGUAGAGAUGUGGAGGAAUACCGGUGGCGAAAGGCGGCCCCUGGACAAAGACUGACGCUCAUGUGCGAAAGCGUGGGGAGCAAACAGGGAUUAGAUACC